rnacentral:tRNA from 1 species
GGUUCCAUGGUGUAAUGGUUAGCAUCUGACUCGGAAUCCAGCGAUCCGAGUUCAAAUCUCGGUGGAACCU